GGGACAACCCGCCGAAAGGCGGGCUAAACCCGCGUACAUGCCACCGGGGCAUCCCGGAGGCAGGAAAGGCUUCGGCCGGACAGGGAUGGGCAUGCGGCGCAUUAGGCAGUAGGCGGGGUAACGGCCCACCUAACCGACGAUGCGUAGGGGUUCUGAGAGGAAGGUCCCCCACACUGGUACUGAGACACGGACCAGACUCCUACGGGAGGCAGCAGUGAGGAAUAUUGGUCAAUGGUCGGGAGACUGAACCAGCCAAGCCGCGUGAGGGAGGAAGGUACAGAGUAUCGUAAACCUCUUUUGUCAGGGAACAAAGACUGGGACGCGUCCCCGGAUGAGUGUACCUGAAGAAAAAGCAUCGGCUAACUCCGUGCCAGCAGCCGCGGUAAUACGGAGGAUGCGAGCGUUAUCCGGAUUUAUUGGGUUUAAAGGGUGCGUAGGCGGUCUGUUAAGUCAGCGGUCAAAGCCCGGGGCUCAACCCCGGCCCGCCGUUGAAACUGGCAGUCUCGAGUUGGAGAGAAGUAUGCGGAAUGCGCGGUGUAGCGGUGAAAUGCAUAGAUAUCGCGCAGAACUCCGAUUGCGAAGGCAGCAUGCCGGCUCCACACUGACGCUGAGGCACGAAAGCGUGGGUAUCGAACAGGAUUAGAUACCCUGGUAGUCCACGCAGUAAACGAUGAAUGAUGGCUGUCCG
rnacentral:rRNA from 1 species